UCAACAAUGAUAAUAAUGAUCACCGGGUUGAUUCUGGUGGUUGUGAUACUGAUUCCUCUGCUUCUUUUUUCUCUGUGGUUGAGGAAGAAGAAAUCUCUGAACUCCACCAAUGAACCCGCAGAGACUGUGGAGUUGGACUCUGAUCCUGUGUAUGCGAACAUCUGAGGCGCUGGAUGGAAACAGAAAGAAGUACAACGCUGAAGUGGAUAUAUUUACCUUCAACUCUGAAAGUUUUUCAGUUUCAGCAGCAAGGCAGCAGAAUAUUUGAGUAGAAUGCAGUUUUUUACCUGUGCAGGUAUCUUACAUAUGCUUAGGAUUUAACUUGAUAUGCAAAAUGUUAUUUUAGAUUUCAAUGUUAUAAACUUGCUUUUAAGAAAUAUUGAUCGCCUUAUCACAUUUAUCACAAUCACUUAUUAUGUCUUUUUUUUAUCUCCUAAGAAUCUAGAAACUGUCAUCCAUGCUUUCAUUACAUCCCGUUUAGACUACUGUCUCUGUACUCAGUCAGUCGUUCCAAUAACUUAUUUUUGAUUUAUAUUUUAACACCAUAUUUUCCUACAGAAAUAUCAAAGUGUGCUGCAAUACACAAUAAAUCAUCCUUGCAGCAUUAUUCAACUUUUUCAAAACUAGGAUUGUCAAUAAAAUCCUGCAAAUCAAAACUCGUGUUCACCAUCUAAUGCCAUAACUACAAUGAUCCACCAAUUUUGAUUGAAAAUUAUAUCUCAGACGAGCCCCCAAUUUUGUUACGUUCCCUUUUGUAUAGAUACAAAUAAAGAGACAAAAACAUGACAAUCAAAUGAAAUAGAGUCAAAGUAGAGGUGGAAAAAGAAAAAGGGUGAUUUAUUUACAGGAACAAUGUGGUUGUGCCAAAUAAACAGAAAUAAGAAAAUAAAACAAGGCCUAACUAAUUGUUAGCUCACAUACAAAACCACAAAAAGAACACCUGACUAAGUUAUCUAAAAAAAGACCUUCAAAACGAAUACAACGGUGGCACCAACCAGUAACCUAUAGCGUUUCUUUACAAAAAAAAAAACUAUGUGAAUGAAAAGUGUAAAUGGUACCCCGGUUUACCUACAGUCCUCCACCUCCCACCACAGACCUUUUCUAAUAUCUUUAACACAUUUUUCAAGUUUUUCGUCUUUCAAAGCUCAUUCAAAACACACUUUUUCCAAAUUGCUCUCUCUUAAUCGGUUAUUCCUCUGCUAUUAUUCUACUUGUUGUUACUGUGUUUCAGUACUUCAUACCUUGCUUGUCAUUUUUACUGUAUCAACUCUAUUUUUAUAUUACUACCUGUUCAUUUCUCUUGCUUUUUAUGUCUUUGUAAAGCACUUUGUAACUCGUUUUAGAAAAUUGCUAUAUAAAUAAAGUUAUUUUUAUUAUUAUAACAUCAGCGGAGAAAGUCUAAACAGACUAGCAAAAAUAUUUCACAGCAUUUACAGCUUUAAACUCUUUUUGUGUUUAUUAUUCAGAAUUUUUUGUUCAUCAGUAAUGACUGCAAAUAAAAUUUAGGUUUGCUCUGAUUUAUGUCUCACUUUAAAACUUGUCACAGUGUAAUAAACUUUCUCUCUGUAAUGCAAACAGUCUAUGUGCUCAACGUAAAACAGCAACUGUUUGAUGAAAUGAAGCUGACUCACUAAUUUGUCUUGAUGGGACAAUAAUCCAACAGAACACAAAAGCAAGCUCACAAACAAACUUUAUCAGCGGACUAAAUCUCUGUCUCUAUCUUCCACUGCAGCUCAACACUUCAUGGAAAGAGCAAAUGUCAUUCUAAGGAGACUGUAACUUUGGAAGUCUCAUAUUAUUACAUUCAUAUAAACACAAUACGAGGACUGUGAAUUUUAUCCCCAUCACUUCCACUGAAAGCUCAUCAGAAUGGUAUUUUUAAUGGCUAGUAUGAACAGGUGGAAUAACUGUAGAGAGCGAAACCUAUGGACACCUGACUAUUGUUUUAAGACAGAUUUGAAAAAUUGUGAACCUAUCAUUCAAUAAAUUAAGUAGCCUCUAUCCAACCGUACUCGUGCACAUGGUUCACCAGUUAAAGGGAUAGUCUGGGUGUUUUGAGGUGGGGUUGUAUGAGCCAAUUAUCCAUAGUAGGUGCAUUACCUACCGACUUUGGUGUUUUAAAGGGUUAGUUCAGA